rnacentral:rRNA from 1 species
AUUGAACGCUGGCGGCAGGCCUAACACAUGCAAGUCGAGCGGAUGAAGGGAGCUUGCUCCUGGAUUCCGCGGCGGACGGGUGAGUAAUGCCUAGGAAUCUGCCUGGUAGUGGGGGAUAACGUCCGGAAACGGGCGCUAAUACCGCAUACGUCCUGAGGGAGAAAGUGGGGGAUCUUCGAACCUCACGCUAUCAGAUGAGCCUAGGUCGGAUUAGCUAGUUGGUGGGGUAAAGGCCUACCAAGGCGACGAUCCGUAACUGGUCUGAGAGGAUGAUCAGUCACACUGGAACUGAGACACGGUCCAGACUCCUACGGGAGGCAGCAGUGGGGAAUAUUGGACAAUGGGCGAAAGCCUGAUCCAGCCAUGCCGCGUGUGUGAAGAAGGUCUUCGGAUUGUAAAGCACUUUAAGUUGGGAGGAAGGGCAGUAAGUUAAUACCUUGCUGUUUUGACGUUACCAACAGAAUAAGCACCGGCUAACUUCGUG